rnacentral:rRNA from 1 species
GGUUUGACGGUACCUAUAAAGGAAGCACAGGCUAACUCCGUGCCAGCAGCCGCGGUAAUACGGGGGGUGCAAGCGUUGUUCGGAAUUAUCGGGCGUAAAGCGCGUGUAGGCGGUCUGAUUAGUUUGAUGUGAAAGCCCUGGGCUCAACCCAGGAAGUGCAUUGGAUACUGUCAGACUUGAAUACGGGAGAGGGUAGUGGAAUUCCUAGUGUAGGAGUGAAAUCCGUAGAUAUUAGGAGGAACACCGGUGGCGAAGGCGGCUACCUGGACCGAUAUUGACGCUGAGACGCGAAAGCGUGGGUAGCAAACAGGAUUAGAUACCCUGGUAGUCCACGCCGUAAACGAUGAGAACUAGGUGUCGCGGGUA